rnacentral:other from 1 species
UAGAUCCUGAGGUGUACGUUAAGGAAACCAUAAUUGAACCUACACUACAUUCACGGGAGCUCGUGUUUAGACUGGCCUAUGCAAUGCCUCCAUAGAGUGGACUGCAGAAGCGGUGACAGAGCACCCACCUUAUCGCAAGAUAGGGCGUCAAUUAUAUUUCCUGACGGCUCACUUGGGAUUUUU